GCCCAAAGUCGCACGUGCCUGUGGGCGUCCCCCGGUCCUUAAAUGCGAGGAUUACCGGGACGGUACCUGGGAUCAAACCCAGUCGGUCUUGCAGCGAGCAAGAUCGAGGACGCCUUGAAGCAACGACGGUGCGGGCCUUU
rnacentral:sRNA from 1 species